GUGGGGAAUAUUGCACAAUGGGGGAAACCCUGAUGCAGCAACGCCGCGUGAGUGAUGAAGGUCUUCGGAUUGUAAAACUCUGUCUUCAGGGACGAUAAUGACGGUACCUGAGGAGGAAGCCACGGCUAACUACGUGCCAGCAGCCGCGGUAAUACGUAGGUGGCAAGCGUUGUCCGGAUUUACUGGGCGUAAAGGGAGCGUAGGUGGAUAUUUAAGUGGGAUGUGAAAUACUCGGGCUUAACCUGAGUGCUGCAUUCCAAACUGGAUAUCUAGAGUGCAGGAGAGGAAAGUAGAAUUCCUAGUGUAGCGGUGAAAUGCGUAGAGAUUAGGAAGAAUACCAGUGGCGAAGGCGACUUUCUGGACUGUAACUGACACUGAGGCUCGAAAGCGUGGGGAGCAAACAGGAUUAGAAACCCGUGUAGUCC
rnacentral:rRNA from 1 species